rnacentral:rRNA from 1 species
GACGAACGCUGGCGGCGUGCUUAACACAUGCAAGUCGAACGGAAAGGCCCUGCUUUUGUGGGGUGCUCGAGUGGCGAACGGGUGAGUAACACGUGAGUAACCUGCCCUUGACUUUGGGAUAACUUCAGGAAACUGGGGCUAAUACCGGAUAGGAGCUCCUGCUGCAUGGUGGGGGUUGGAAAGUUUCGGCGGUUGGGGAUGGACUCGCGGCUUAUCAGCUUGUUGGUGGGGUAGUGGCUUACCAAGGCUUUGACGGGUAGCCGGCCUGAGAGGGUGACCGGCCACAUUGGGACUGAGUUACGGCCCAGACUCCUACGGGAGGCAGCAGUGGGGAAUAUUGCACAAGGGGCGGAAGCCUGAUGCAGCAACGCCGCGUGCGGGAUGACGGCCUUCGGGUUGUAAACCGCUUUCGCCUGUGACGAAGCGUGAGUGACGGUAAUGGGUAAAGAAGCACCGGCUACUACGUG